rnacentral:lncRNA from 1 species
UGGCCAGGAUCUGAACCUAGUCCUCCACAUCCAAACCCAGGCAGUGCAGGGCAGCCUGGCUUCCAAAAGGCGCAGGUCAGCAUGCCCAUUCUGUUCUCUGGGUGGGUAGCCAUGGGAAGGGACUGGACAGACGGGGAAGUCAACCCGAGGAAUCUGGGUGUGUUCUCAGGGUGGUACAGAUGAUGACCAGAAGGAAAGGCAGAGAGGGUGUGCUGGAGAGAACCCUUAAAGGGGGAUCCAACAUUUGAACUUGACUGGAAACCUUUACACCAACCCUGUGGGGAAGAGGGACAAGACCAGUAUUCAUAAUCAGCAACUUGGGAACACUGAGAUCUGUAGGCACUACUCCCACAAUAGCUGUUGGGUACUAAAAUCCAUUCAAGUAUGUCCCCUCUCUAAUCCAGGAGCACCAUAAAUUCUGAAUCAAUACUGGGGUUCAGAAAGCUGGCCUGCUCUGAUGGGGUGAGGUGGGGCAUGGUGGGGAAUUUGGACUUGGCUGCAGGCCUGCAGCCAGAGGCCAGGCUCUAGAUGGGUGGGUCCUGCUUAAUCUGCAAGAGCAAGGGUCAGCCUUGCUCCUGCAGGCUGGCUGAAGGAGGCUAAGGCCAGGGCAUGAGCUAGGGAUCGAGGUUCCCUCACUCUACCCUUCCCUUGGACUAAGCCCCACCCCCCUUGCCUCAACCAGAGACCCCACCUGUGUCUUCUCUUUGUCUCUUUUCCCAAUUACAGAGUAAAGGAUGAACUUGAAGUCCUGGGUUCAAGAUUGGCUCAGCACCUGCUGUGUGGCCUUGAGCCAAUCCCAGCCCUCUCUAAACCCUACCUGUGUAGAGGGCUCUAUCCUGCAUGGGAAGAAAAGGUGUCUGUGAGGGGUUGGGACUUACUGCAUCUGGGAUCCUGAGACCCUGUGUGGAACUGGUAAGCCGGCUGACUGGGGACUGUAGGAGUGGGAGGCACACAGCUCAAAAUCUCAGCUCCCCCUCUAUCUAGCUGUGUGAUUUCAUUAGCCUCUAGUAUCAAAAUUGAACUUGCCUGGGCUGGGGUUGUGGCUCAGCUGUAGAGCGCUCACCUAGCACAUUCGAGGCCCUGGGUUCAAGCCUCAGCACCACAUUAAAAAUAAAUAAAUAAAAUAAGGACGAUAUUUUAAAAAAUUGAACUUGCCACACUCCUAUUUAAUAUUCACAACCUUCUGAGGAAGUCACACAUUCUUUUUAAAAUUUUUUUUAGAUGUUGAUGGACCUUUAUUUUAUUCAUUCAUUUAUACACGGUGCUGAGAAUCAAACCCAGUGCCUCACACAUACUAGGCAAGCACUGCACCACUGAGCCACAACUCCAGCCCAGGUCACUCAUUCUUUAACUCAGUUAUUUGUUCACCCAACAGUGUGGAGCUGCCUGCUAAGCGUCUGAUAAUUCUAGGGACUGGGGUUCUGCAGGAACCAGGUAAUUUUCUAAUACAGUGGGUUUGCAGAGAAGCAGACUCUAUCCGGGGCAUCAGCAACAAGGCCAGCACACCUCUCCACCCCGCAAUCUAGAAGUGGGAGACAAUGAACGAACGAAUGAAUGAGUCAGUUUGAAGAUACAGAGAAUCAAACACUGACGGAACGGGAUGCUCAGCCUGCUUAAGAGAGGUGUGAGGGACAGAGGAGCUACCCUCACGGUAGAACCACUGGGUGAGGGUCCCAAUAAACGCUCCUUAGGGGUCAGCUGUUAUUAUUACCUGUAUUAUUUUGAGUCCUGGCUCCCCCAUGUGCCAGUUCUAGGCUCUGGAGUUUCCUCCUUUGUAAGCGCUCAGGUUGCGGGGCAGGGAGGGCGGCGGCUAGCCCUAGGAGGGCGCCCCAAACAAGUUUGCGCCUCCCGGCCGGGCUGCGCCCCGGGGGCGGGACGGCCUCUAGGGGCCGACGGCGAACUACAUUUCCCACAAUCCCGGUCCGCCGCCAUCUCGGCCGGUGGGCGGUGGCUGCGUUGGGUCGGGCCCUUCUAGCCCGAGGGCCGGCUCUGUCCACCCCAACCAGAGCCGCCUCCACUGGGGGCGUGGGACCCCCGCCAAGUAGGACGUCUGAGCACCUGGGCAGCUCCUGCCCGCCUUUUCCACUUCUCCAUUCCUGGGAACCCGGUCCACGUGUCGGUCCGCUCAGAGGAGCCCGCUCGUCCCUUGCAGGCCAAGGGGUUUAAGGACCCAGACCCCUGGGUCUCCCAUGACUCCUCACGGACCCACGCCCUACUCCCAGGACCCUCUCCCCUCCAUGCCUCUGUGCGCCCGCCCCCGCCCCCCAUUCUGUCUCAAUGAGCACAGAAUAAGACCGGAUCCAAUGAGGGCUAGAGAUCUGGCGGGUGCGCAAGUCCUGGUAUCAGAUGCUUAGUAUAAGCCUGGGUUUGGGGCUAGGAGGUUAAAUUAGGGGCGUGCGAACAGCCAGGCCCAGACCUCCGCGGACUGGACCCUCCCCUACCCGCUACCCGGAGGCGGGGUGGGGGUGAGGGGCCCAAAGCGGGGCUGGCCCUUUA